AGGCGGUUUGUCGCGUCUGCUGUGAAAACUGGAGGCUCAACCUCCAGCCUGCAGUGGGUACGGGCAGACUUGAGUGCGGUAGGGGAGAUUGGAAUUCCUGGUGUAGCGGUGGAAUGCGCAGAUAUCAGGAGGAACACCGAUGGCGAAGGCAGAUCUCUGGGCCGUUACUGACGCUGAGGAGCGAAAGGGUGGGGAGCGAACAGGCUUAGAUACCCUGGUAGUCCACCCCGUAAACGUUGGGAACUAGUUGUGGGGGCCUUUCCACGGUCUCUGUGACGCAGCUAACGCAUUAAGUUCCCCGCCUGGGGAGUACGGCCGCAAGGCUAAAACUCAAAGGAAUUGACGGGGACCCGCACAAGCGGCGGAGCAUGCGGAUUAAUUCGAUGCAACGCGAAGAACCUUACCAAGGCUUGACAUACACCGGAACGCCCUAGAGAUAGGGAACUCUUUGGACACUGGUGUACAGGUGGUGCAUGGUUGUCGUCAGCUCGUGUCGUGAGAUGUUGGGUUAAGUCCCGCAACGAGCGCAACCCUCGUUCUCUGUUGCCAGCACGUGAUGGUGGGAACUCAGGGGAUACUGCCGGGGUCAACUCGGAGGAAGGUGGGGAUGACGUCAAAUCAUCAUGCCCCUUAUGUCUUGGGCUUCACGCAUGCUACAAUGGCCGGUACAAUGGGCUGCGAUACCGUGAGGUGGAGCGAAUCCCAAAAAGCCGGUCCCAGUUCGGAUCGUAGUCUGCAACUCGACUACGUGAAGUCGGAGUCGCUAG
rnacentral:rRNA from 1 species